UAGUCCACGCCCUAAACGAUGUCUACUAGUUGUCGGGUCUUCAUUGACUUGGUAACGCAGCUAACGCGUGAAGUAGACCGCCUGGGGAGUACGGCCGCAAGGUUAAAACUCAAACGAAUUGACGGGGACCCGCACAAGCGGUGGAUGAUGUGGAUUAAUUCGAUGCAACGCGAAAAACCUUACCUACACUUGACAUGUCAGAGAGUUUCCAGAGAUGGAUUUGUGCCCGAAAGGGAAUCUGAACACAGGUGCUGCAUGGCUGUCGUCAGCUCGUGUCGUGAGAUGUUGGGUUAAGUCCCGCAACGAGCGCAACCCUUAUCCUUAGUUGCUACGCAAGGGCACUCUAGGGAGACUGCCGGUGACAAACCGGAGGAAGGUGGGGAUGACGUCAAGUCCUCAUGGCCCUUAUGUGUAGGGCUUCACACGCCAUACAAUGGUCGGUACAGAGGGUUGCUAUCCCGCGAGGGAAUGCGAAUCUCAAAAGCCGGUCUCAGUUCGGAUCGGAGU
rnacentral:rRNA from 1 species